rnacentral:rRNA from 1 species
UACGAAGGGGGCUAGCGUUGCUCGGAAUUACUGGGCGUAAAGCGUGUGUAGGCGGCCAUUCAAGUCGGAUGUGAAAGCCCCGGGCUCAACCCGGGAAGUGCACCCGAAACUGGAUGGCUUGAGUAUCGGAGAGGUUGGUGGAAUUCUCGGUGUAGAGGUGAAAUUCGUAGAUAUCGAGAGGAACACCGGUGGCGAAGGCGGCCAACUGGACGAAUACUGACGCUGAGACACGAAAGCGUGGGGAGCAAACAGG